CGUAGGUUGGCUCUCACUGUACUCAUUGGUGCUGCCGCUGUUGGCUCUAAGGUUUCUCCUGCUGAUGCUGCCUAUGGUGAAGCUGGUAAUUAUCUUCCUUUUUCUUUUUCCUUUCUUUAUCAGCCGUACGUUUAGGCUCAUGAACCCUAGCUAGCAUGAAGAGAUAAUGAUAUUAAUUUAAGUGAAUGAAAAUGAGUGGGUUGAUUUGGAUGCAGCAAAUGUAUUUGGAAAGCCAAAAACAGACACAGACUUCAUGCCAUACAGUGGGGAUGGAUUCAAGCUCUCGAUACCAUCGAAAUGGAACCCAAGCAAAGAGGUGGAGUUCCCAGGUCAAGUGCUGAGGUACGAGGACAACUUCGACACCACCAGCAAUUUGAGCGUCAUGAUCACUCCCACGGACAAGAAGUCCAUCACCGACUACGGUUCCCCUGAGGAGUUCCUCUCUUCGGUAUUCCAUUUUCCCACCAGCUUAAAUAUUUUAUCAAUAUUUAAUCUUUGCUCAUCCAUUUGCUUCUCAUUGAAUAUUUGCAGGUGGAUUAUCUUCUUGGAAAACAAGCUUACUUUGGUAAAACUGAUGCUGAGGUGAUUCACUAACAUAUGCAUAUAAUAUAUAACAUAUGUAAUAGCUAUCAUAGACUUCAUUUUUGGUACCUCCCAUUCGGCCAUUCCCUUGUUUUUCGAAUUUAAAGCAACCAUUUACAUACGUGGUUUGAGUACAUACAUGUGUGUGUGCGCGCGCAUAUGCAGGGUGGUUUUGACUCCGGUGCGGUGGCGACCGCAAACAUAUUGGAGAGUUCAAGUUCAACAGUCGGCGGGAAGCCGUACUACUUCUUGUCAGUGUUGACAAGAACCGCCGACGGAGACGAAGGCGGGAAGCACCAGCUAAUAACAGCCACCGUCAACAACGGCAAGCUUUACAUUUGCAAGGCACAAGCUGGGGACAAGAGGUGGUUCAAGGGAGCUAGAAAGUUUGU
rnacentral:lncRNA from 1 species